GUGAAAUCAUUCGUAUUCAAGGUGGACAAUGUGGUAACCAAAUUGGUGCCAAGUUUUGGGAAUGUUUUGGUGCCAAAUGCGACAUUGAUUUUACCGGUCGUUACAAUGGUGAUUCUGAUCUCCACUUGAGAGAAUUAAUGUGUAUUACAAUGAGGUUACCAGUGGAAGAUUUGUUCCUACGGAUGUUCUUAUGGAUUUAGAGCACCAUGGACAAUAUUAGAUUAGAGUAGACUGCUGUAUAUUACAUUAAAGGUGCUGAAUAGAUUGAUGUCGUUCUCGAUCUUGUUCGUAAGGAAGUCAAAAACUCCGACUUCCUUCAAGGAUUUCAAUUGUGCCAUUCAUAGGUUCUUUUAUGGGAACACCUCUGAUCUUAAAGAUCAGAGAAGAAUACCUGGACAGAAUAAUGCUUACCUUCUCCGUUUUCACUUCAGCUAAGGUUUCUGACAUUGUUGUUGAGCCUUAUAAUGCUACCUUGGCUGUGCAUAAUCAAUUGGUUAAAAAUGCCGAUAAGUGCAUGCUUCUUGGUAAUGAGGUUCUAUAUUACAUCUUCUUCAGAACCCUAAAGCUCAUCACCCCAAGCUAAUGCCAGAGAGCAAGGAUCAGGAUUCUCUCUAGACGAGCCAUCAGUAUUGAACUUAAAUUUCCCUUGGGGAGGAAGAUGUCACUAUACUAAUGUGCACCUCGUGGGUUUGUAGAAUUCCAACUUUUGCAUCAUAAGUGGCCAGAUGUUAGAGAUCUUUGGUUCCCAUGGGGAACCUCAUUCUA